rnacentral:rRNA from 1 species
CCUACGGGUGGCAGCAGUGAGGAAUAUUGGUCAAUGGCCGUAAGGCUGAACCAGCCAAGUCGCGUGAAGGAAGAAGGAUCUAUGGUUUGUAAACUUCUUUUAUAGGGGAAUAAAGGUAUCCACGUGUGGAUAUUUGCAUGUACCCUAUGAAUAAGCAUCGGCUAACUCCGUGCCAGCAGCCGCGGUAAUACGGAGGAUGCGAGCGUUAUCCGGAUUUAUUGGGUGUAAAGGGUGGGUAGGUUGUUUUUUAAGUAUGCGGUGCAAUGUUGUGGCUCAACCUUAAAAUUGCCGUUGAUACUGGAAGACGUGAGUGUGUUUGAGGAAGGCGGAAUGCGUGGUGUAGCGGUGAAAUGCAUAGAUAUCACGCAGAACUCCGAGUGCGAAGGCAGCUUACUAAGCCAUAACUGACACUGAAGCACGAAAGCGUGGGGAUCAAACAGGAUUAGAUACCCGUGUAGUC